CCUUCGAUAGCUCAGUUGGUAGAGCGGUGGACUGUAGAGUAUUUUCGUAAAGUUGAUAUCCAUAGGUCGCUGGUUCAAAUCCGGCUCGAAGGA
rnacentral:tRNA from 1 species